rnacentral:rRNA from 1 species
GUCCGUAUAACGAGCGNAACCCCUCGUGGUUAGUUGCCAGCGAGUAAUGUCGGGAACUCUAGCCAGACUGCCGGUGCAAACCGCGAGGAAGUGGGGAUGACGUCAAAUCAUCACGGCCCUUACGUCCUGGGCCACACACGUGCUACAAUGGUAGGGACAGAGAGCAGCCACUUCGCGAGAAGGAGCGAAUCUACAAACCCUAUCACAGUUCGGAUCGCAGUCUGCAACUCGACUGCGUGAAGCUGGAAUCGCUAGUAAUCGCAUAUCAGCCAUGAUGCGGUGAAUACGUUCCCGGGCCUU